GCCAAAUUGGUAAAGGCGUCGCCGAUCACAGGCGAAGAUGCGGGUUCGAGUCCCGC
rfam:Operophtera brumata OBRT01_Sc10105, whole genome shotgun sequence.